AGUGAACGCUGGCGGUAGGCCUAACACAUGCAAGUCGAACGGCAGCACAGUAAGAGCUUGCUCUUACGGGUGGCGAGUGGCGGACGGGUGAGGAAUACAUCGGAAUCUACUUUUUCGUGGGGGAUAACGUAGGGAAACUUACGCUAAUACCGCAUACGACCUACGGGUGAAAGCAGGGGAUCUUCGGACCUUGCGCGAUUGAAUGAGCCGAUGUCGGAUUAGCUAGUUGGCGGGGUAAAGGCCCACCAAGGCGACGAUCCGUAGCUGGUCUGAGAGGAUGAGCAGCCACACUGGAACUGAGACACGGUCCAGACUCCUACGGGAGGCAGCAGUGGGGAAUAUUGGACAAGGGGCGCAAGCCGGAUCCAGCCAUACCGCGUGGGGGAAGAAGGCCGUCGGGUUGUAAAGCCCUUUUGUUGGGAAAGAAAAGCAGCAGGUUAAUACCCCGCUGUUCUGACGGUACCCAAAGAAUAAGCACCGGCUAACUUCG
rnacentral:rRNA from 1 species